AUUGAACGCUGGCGGCAGGCUUAACACAUGCAAGUCGAGCGGGGGAAGGUAGCUUGCUACUGGACCUAGCGGCGGACGGGUGAGUAAUGCUUAGGAAUCUGCCUAUUAGUGGGGGACAACAUCUCGAAAGGGAUGCUAAUACCGCAUACGUCCUACGGGAGAAAGCAGGGGAUCUUCGGACCUUGCGCUAAUAGAUGAGCCUAAGUCGGAUUAGCUAGUUGGUGGGGUAAAGGCCUACCAAGGCGACGAUCUGUAGCGGGUCUGAGAGGAUGAUCCGCCACACUGGGACUGAGACACGGCCCAGACUCCUACGGGAGGCAGCAGUGGGGAAUAUUGGACAAUGGGGGGAACCCUGAUCCAGCCAUGCCGCGUGUGUGAAGAAGGCCUUAUGGUUGUAAAGCACUUUAAGCGAGGAGGAGGCUACUCUAGUUAAUACCUAGGGAUAGUGGACAUUACUCGCAGAAUAAGCACCGGCUAACUCUGUGCCAGCAGCCGCAGUAA
rnacentral:rRNA from 1 species